AUGCCAGCGGCGGCGCUGCCCCGUGGCGUCCAGGCGGUGCUGGUGACCUCCGGCCAACUCCGCAACCUCGACCCGCAGCUCCAGGUGCCCCCGCUCCUCCUCGCCAACACCCUCAUCGCCGCCUUCUCCCGCGCCGCACUCCCUCGCCUCGCCUUCCCACUCCUCCGCCACCUCCUGCGCCGCGCCCGCCCCUUCCGCCCCGACGCCUUCACCUUGCCGCCGCUCAUCCGCGCGGCCCCGGCCCACGCCUCCGCCGCGCAGCUCCACGCCUGCGCGCUCCGGCUCGGCCUCCUCCGCCCGUGCGUCUUCGCGUCCGGCUCCCUCGUGCACGCCUACCUCCGCUUCGGCCGCGUGGAGGAGGCCCGCGGGGUGUUCGACGAAAUGCCCGCGCGGGACCUGCCGGCCUGGAACGCGAUGCUGUCCGGGCUGUGCCGCAACGCCCGCGCGGCCGAGGCCGUGCGCCUGCUCGGGCGGAUGGCGGGGGAGGGCGUCGCCGGCGACACGGUCACGGUCUCGAGCGUGCUGCCCAUGUGCGCGCUGCUGGGGGACUGGGUGCUUGCGCUGGUCGUGCACGUGUAUGCGGUGAAGCACGGGCUGGACAAGGAGCUCUUCGUGUGCAAUGCCAUGAUCGAUGUGUAUGGAAAGCUUGGGAUGCUAGAGGAGGCUCGGCAGGUGUUUGAUGGAAUGGAGCGCCGCGAUCUGGUGACAUGGAACUCGAUCAUCUCAGGGUAUGAGCAGGGUGGGCAGGUUGCUGCUGCGGUCAAGAUGUUUCACGGUAUGAGGGACAGUGGGGUUUCCCCUGACGUGCUGACGCUUGUGAGCCUGGCGUCUGCUGUCGCACAGUGUGGAGGUGACUGCGGUGGGAAGUCAGUGCACUGUUAUGUGAUGAGGCGGGGGUGGGAUCUGGGUGACAUAAUUGCAGGGAAUGCUGUGGUUGAUAUGUAUGCCAAGCUAUCAAAGAUUGAGGCCGCCCAGAGGAUGUUUGACACCAUGCCAGUUCGAGAUGCUGUGUCUUGGAAUACUUUGAUCACGGGGUAUAUGCAGAAUGGACUUGCCAACGAGGCAAUUGAGGCGUAUAGUCGUAUGCAGAAUCAUGAGGGUCUGAAGCCUAUUCAAGGGACAAUUGUCAGUGUUUUGCCUGCAUACUCACAACUUGGUGCCUUGCAGCAGGGCAUGCGGAUGCAUGCUCUGUCUGUUAAGACUGGGUUCAAUCUGGAUGUUUAUGUUGGAACUUGUAUGGUAGACUUGUAUGCUAAAUGCGGAAAGCUGGCGGACGCAAUGCUUUUCUUUGAAAAUAUGCCCAAAAGGAGUAGGAGUACAGGUCCCUGGAAUGCCAUCAUGGCUGGCCUUGGAGUUCAUGGGCAUGCCGCAGAGGCUCUCAGUGUCUUCUCACGAAUGCAGCAGGAAGGAGUUAAUCCUGAUCAUGUCACAUUUGUUUCACUGUUGGCUGCCUGUAGUCAUGCUGGCUUAGUUGACCAAGGCCGGAGUUUCUUUGAUAUGAUGCGUGUAACAUACGGCAUUAUCCCCAUUGCAAAACAUUAUGCGUGCAUGGUAGAUAUGCUUGGCAGAGCUGGUCAGCUUCAGGAAGCUUUUGAUUUCAUACACAACAUGCCAAUUAAACCCGAUUCCGCUGUUUGGGGAGCUCUGCUUGGUGCUUGCAGGAUUCAUGGGAAUGUUGAAAUGGGCAAAGUGGCUUCGCAAAACCUAUUUGAACUUGAUCCAGAGAAUGUUGGAUAUUAUGUUCUAAUGUCGAACAUGUAUGCAAAGGUUGGGAAAUGGGAUGGAGUUGACGAAGUGAGGUCUUUGGUCAGACACCAAAAUUUGCAGAAAACCCCUGGAUGGAGUUCAAUAGAGGUGAAAAGAUCAGUGAAUGUGUUUUACAGUGGCAACCAGACAGAACCCCACCCUCAACAUGAAGAGAUCCAGGCAGAGCUGCAGAAUCUGUUGGCCAAGAUGAGAUCUAUAGGUUAUGUUCCGGACUACAGUUUUGUCCUACAGGAUGUAGAGGAGGAUGAAAAGCAACACAUCUUGAAUAAUCAUAGUGAGAGAUUAGCUAUUGCCUUUGGCAUCAUAAAUACUCCUCCAAGAACUCCGCUCCAUAUAUACAAGAAUUUGCGCGUGUGUGGGGAUUGCCACAAUGCCACCAAAUAUAUAUCAAAACUAACUGAGAGAGAGAUCAUUGUCCGGGAUUCAAAUCGGUUCCACCACUUUAAACAUGGUCAAUGUUCUUGUGGGGAUUUUUGGUAA
rnacentral:rRNA from 1 species